rnacentral:lncRNA from 10 species
ACUGGUGAGUCAUACUCCCCAUACAGAGCUCCCUACACACUGGCUGUCAGAAAAAAAAAAAAAAAAAAGCAAAACAGAAGUUGCCAUCUCGUCCUCUGCUCUAGCUGUCUCAUUUUACCUUCUGAAAUGAUGGAGGAAGUUCUGCUGACGAUGGGGUCAGGGUAACAGCAGACUUCUGAAUAACCCUGCACCCCCAGAAACCUGCGAAGGACACAGGCCUUCUUGGUGGUCUCCUCCUGGAUGCCUUGCUUUCUUCUGGAAGAGCCCUCCCUUCCACCCCGGAUAUCACUGUGAACCUGAUUCCCCAGGAUCAACCAUCUGAGCAGAUACCUUAGAAUGUCCCCAGAUUUCAGAGGGAGAAAAAAGGCUUCGGGUGCUGCCAGAAGAGAAGAGGCCAUCAGUGAGUGAGGAAAGGGCAUGGAAAGAGGAAGUGGGGAAGGGAAAUGGCCUCACCUUACGGACCUGCAGUUCUGUGGGGCAAAUUAAAGCUGUAAAGCAGGUAUUUUUGACUGGAGCAGCAGACAAAAGUUUCUGUUUAGUAGAAAAGUUACUGCAAUCAAUGCUGUUCCACAUCACUAAUGAAGGCUGAAAAAAGUCACAGCUGAAAGGUAUAAUGGUGCUUUUUUCCAGAGGGCUGCUUAAGCAAGGUCUCAUUGUGCCUGAAGUCUGUAUUGCUUACUGGCCAUUCAGGACGUGUAAUGCGAUUUAAGAAAGUGGUGCUGGACUGCACUGAGCCAGCUAUACCCUCUUACUCAGUCCCCUGUAGAACAGGGCCAGAGAGAGUGGAGGGCAGGGUGUGCCCAGCCAAUUGGCCUCUAUAGGAAUUUCAACCAUGACCUCC